rnacentral:rRNA from 1 species
UACGGAGGGUGCAAGCGUUAUCCGGAUUCACUGGGUUUAAAGGGUGCGUAGGUGGUUUUGUAAGUCAGUGGUGAAAUCUCGGAGCUUAACUCCGAAACUGCCAUUGAUACUGCUUAACUUGAAUCAACUUGAGGUGGAUGGAAUAUUACAUGUAGCGGUGAAAUGCUUAGAUAUGUAAUAGAACACCGAUUGCGAAGGCAGUUCACUAAGGUUGUAUUGACACUGAGGCACGAAAGCGUGGGGAUCAAACAGG